CCUGCGUGCAUCAUGACCGCGGACACUCAAAACAUCUGUGCCUGCAACGAGCUGUAGAGCGCAGCUGUCACAUGAUGCCAAAUCACUGCGCUCUUAUUUCAUUUGGGGAAUUAGAAGAGGAAUAUCAGCGGAUUUGGUUGGCGAUGCCAGGGAAGAACAUUACAGAGCUGUUUCAGAAAUGAGACCAAAUCCAAUAGAACUCUGAUGGAGAUGUAGUUAAUAAUCUCAGUACGAUCUCCAGAAGAAAUCAGAGCAGAAGCAAGAGGAUGAUUUCAAGAAAGGGUCGAUGUCCUCCAGCGGAACUCCGACCAGUCCUGCGGGGAUGUCGCCAAAGAUACGAGGCAGCACCUUCCCGGCCUCCAGGUCAGCACGUGGUUUGGGCUCCUCCGUGUACCCG